rnacentral:rRNA from 1 species
GAUGAACGCUGGCGGCGUGCCUAAUACAUGCAAGUCGAGCGAAGCGGGGACGGGUGAGUAACACGUGGGUAACCUCCUAUAAGACUGGGAUAACUUAGGGAAACCGGAGCUAAACCGGAUACUUAUCGAUGGAUCCGCGCUGCAUUAGCUAGUUGGUAAGGUAACGGCUUACCAGGGCAACGAUGCAUAGCCGACCUGAGAGGGGUAUCGGCCACACUGGAACUGAGACACGGUCCAGGCUCCAACGGGAGGCAGCGGUGGGAAAUCUUCCGCAGUGGGCGAAGGCCUGACGGAGCAACGCCGCGUGAGUGAUGAAGGUCUUGGGAUCGUAAAACUCUGUUAUUAGGGAAGCGGUACCUAAUCAGAAGGCCACGGCUAACUACGGGCCAGCGGCCGCGGUAAAC